CCACGACGCGACGCACCCGCCGCGCCUCCGGCGCACGACGCGCCCACCCUUGCCAUCGUCUUCAGUGCCCUCGCCGGCCGUGACACGCUCGCUGCACGCCGCUCGUUCCUCCUCCACGCUCGCUGCCACAAGCGAUGCCUCCUCCCACUGUCCCCUUCUUCCUCACCUCCACCACGCUCGCCACCGCCGCGAAGCCGCAACGGCAGCAGCUACCGGCUCAACCGCAACCGCCGUCAUGCGGCGCCAAAACCCCAGCCGACUCCCUCGCCGCGGCGUACACCGCGCGCAUGCGGCUCAACCCGCACCUCGCGCUCCGCUUGUUCGACCACCUGCUCCGCUCCGGCGCCGACCCGGACCCCAUAGCGUACGCGCUCGCCCUGGCCCGCUGCGCGCGGGAGCGGGCCCACCCUGCUGCCGCGCAGCUCCACGGGCACGCCGCCAAGAGCGGGGCCGCUUCGCACCGCCGCGUGCGCAACGGGCUCAUCCACGCCUACUCCGUCUGCGGGAUGCUCUGCGAUGCGCGCAAGGUGUUCGACUAUGGGCCCGAGGUGGAUAUGAUCGCCUGGAACUGCCUGCUGCGAGGGUACGCGCAGGGCAGGGACGCAGGAGCACUCCGGGAGUUCUUCGCGCGGAUGCCAGCCCGAGACUCGGUCUCUUGGAACACGGUCAUUGCAUGGUGUGUUGUGAAUGGGGAGCAUGAGGAGGCAGUUGCGGUGUUCCGGGAGAUGCUUGUAAGCAGUGAGUGCCAGCCUGAUAGGGUGACAUUGGUGAGCGUAAUCUCGGCAAUUGCGUACUUGGGAGCACUUGCGCAAGGGCUCUGGGCACAUGCAUAUGUUUGCAGGAAAGAGAUUGAGGUCGAUGAGAAGUUGAGCUCAGCUCUAAUAAACAUGUACUCCAAGUGUGGUUUCAUUGAGGGUGCAGUUUAUGUGUUUGAAAAUUCGUGUGCACUGAGGAGCGUAGAUACUUGGAAUGCAAUGUUAGCUGGUUUCACAGCAAGUGGCUGCAGUGAAAGAGCUUUGGAGCUUUUUACUAGAAUGGAGUCAUCUGGGUUCGUGCCUAACAAAAUUACGUUUAACAGUUUACUGAAUGCUUGCAGCCACGCAGGGUUUGUCGAGGAAGGUGUUGGUUAUUUUGAGAGAAUGACAAAUUCCUAUAGUAUUGUGCCCGACAUUGCCCAUUACGGUUGUAUGGUGGAUCUAUUCUGCCGUGCGGGGCUGUUUGAGAAGGCAGAGGAGAUGAUUCAGAUGAUGCCAAUGGAGCCAGAUGCUGCUGUGUGGAAGGCACUGGUUGGUGCUUGUAGAACUUACAAGAACUUUGAGUUGGGAAAGAAGGCAGGACACAGGCUUAUUGAGGCUGCACCGAAUGAUCACGCGGGGUAUGUGUUAUUAUCCAACAUUUAUGCGCUGGAUGGCAACUGGAAAGGAGUGCAUAAGGUGAGGAAGCUGAUGUUGGAUUGUGGAGUGCAGAAAGUACCUGGGAGCAGCUCAAUAGAACUUGAUGGUGUUAUUCAUGAGUUCAUAUCUGGAGAUAAAAGUCACUCAAGGAAGAGGGAUGUAUAUCAGAUGCUAAGUGAGAUAUGCCAGCAGUUGAAAAUUGCGGGAUAUGCUCCAGACACCUCCCAAGUGCUGCUAGAUAUUGAUGAUGAGGAUGUGAAAGAGAGUUCACUUGCUCUUCACAGCGAGAAGCUUGCACUUGCCUUUGGGCUGAUUAGCACUGCACCUGGGACACCUAUUAGGAUUGUAAAGAACCUCCGGGUCUGUGGAGACUGUCAUAAUGUGAUAAAACUUCUAAGCAAGAUUUAUGGGAGGUGCAUUAUUGUUAGGGAUGCAAAUCGAUUUCAUCGUUUCAGAGAAGGGUCUUGUUCUUGCGGAGAUUACUGGUAACCUUUCAGAUGAGCUGCAGUUCAGUUCUGUUUAGUUUUCUUGUUACACAGAAAUAUAUAGCAUGCUAGAAAUAUUCUGGCAAUGAUUAUACUUGUCCAUUUGAGAAAGAUUUUUAGAUGUGCCAUGAAGCUCUUGACUCGAUUUCAUGUCUCUUAAAUGCUAAGCUACCCAUAAACCAACACCAUGAUGACCACCCUCUUGUGUCUCAGCAAGUUGAAACCUAAUUAUUGUCCUUUUCAGUCCCCAUGAUUCAAUACUGAACAUGAAUCUGAGAUGUAUGCCCUACGCAAAAGUGCCAUUAAAUUCCGAUAAUUAUACAUCCUUUUAAAUGGUAGGGACUAGAAAUCAUCAAUUACCUGAUACAUACUUAAUGCUGUUUUCCGAAUGUCAUUACUGUCAUCAUACAGUUGAGGAUGACUGCUUCACAUAAACUCACAUUUGAAUGAGAAAAACUUAAGCCACAGGACCAACUAGGCCUUCUGCUUUUAGUUUUGGCCUGUGAACUGACACCUUGUCCGUACAUUUUUUUUUCAUCUCACACCAUGUACUAUUAGCCUUUAUGCUAUAUUUUUUUUUGCACAUCAUAGAUACGUCUACGUUGUAGUAGCCUUGUAGGUACAUCUAUAUUUGCAGAUUCUCCGUAAGCCAUUUGAUUGCACAUUCUUUGGCAAAGGCUGAGGUUGAUGGAUUUAACUUGCUGUUGUGUUCUUUGGUAACUGCCCUUGAGGGCAUCAGAAACUCAUGCACUAAAUUUUUUAACUCCUGGGAUAGCAGUUACCCACUACCACUUUUAUGAUAGUAUUAUUAUCUCCCUUGCUACCUGUUGUUGAUUUCGGAAGAGACAUGAAGCAUUCUGCACAAGUGAUAGUAAUUAUUGAAUUUAUGAACCAUCUAAAGAUUGAGAUUGGUAACAAGGACAAAGAUCGACACUACUGGAUACAGUAAUCACUUCCACCGUGCUCUUGUUAUUACUACCUGGUGGUCUGGUGGAUGUAGGAGCUUUGCUUUUGAACGAAAGGACAGUGGAUGAUGCAAACGCAUGCCUAUUUGGCAUUAUAGCAUGGGUGCUGUCUGACGGGAAGGCUUCCUAGGUGUAAGUAUCACAUUCUUGAAGGUUUAGUUGUCUUUGCUAGCAAAACUUUGCAUGAUUGCAUCAAAGCCACUAAUCUUAAAGUUUAAUUCUUAGAUGUCAAAAUUGAAUGUUUACUCUUAUCUCUGCAAUUAUAUUAAUAUUUGCAUCUGUAUGUGAUAUUUUGCAAGGACAUCUUCAUGAUAAAGAGGAAGGGUGUAAAGCAUCGUACAUCUUCACUCUUCACAUCAUAUGAUGUUUGCCAUUGCUUUAUAGAUAGCACCAGACUUAGGGAGACUGGAUAACAGUUAAUCUAAUCAACCUUGUCCCAUGUAAACCAGGCGUCCUAACAUUUGUAAGCAAUUGAGUUCUUAGGAGGAAGCAAAGCUGGGUAGUUCUAUCUUCUUUGUGAAUUAUCAUGAAUGGACUCAUUCAUUCAAAUGGGUAGUUUACAUUCUAGUUGAUUUAUAACUGAAUUAGGAAUCUCCAAUAGUGUGACGCCAGCUGUCUCAAAGUUUUGCUGCAUCCGACUUUGGGUGAGGUAAAGGGGAGAGAACUCCAAAGACAAACCGAGUUAUCUUUCAUGCAAACAACCGCUUUGGCAUGAGAACUAACACAACAUGGAGUGUUUGAGCCAUUAUUUAACAAUUUAUAGAGAGCAUUUUUCUCUAACAGUGAACUGUUGUGUUUAGCAUUCAUCCAAGAAUAUGUGGAGCGGUGUUAGGAAUAACUAAUGCAAGUGCCCUUAGGCACCAGAAAGUUCUACACGGCAUUAGUAAGCGACCAGAUGUGGUACAUUAUGAUUACAAAUUGAUUUUUUUCUCUCUCUCCACACAAGGCAACAUACACACGCAUGCAUGCACAUACGCACACGCACAUAAUGUUAUAUGAUAGUGUAGAAUGCCCUAGCUCCACGCCAAUCAUUAACAGGUUGGCCUUAAUAAACAGUCUGCUGCCCUUAUCAACACUAUUAGUUUAUUUUCCUCUUGGGGGAAGUUCUUUAGUGUUCCCCAGAUAUGCAUUUUGUAUUUUGCACCCUAUGCCCUAGUUUGUAGCUUUAAUCACUGCUCUAGAGUAUAAUAAGACCAUUAGCGUACGCCAUAAUGCAUAAUUAGGAUUUAGAAUAAUCGGUAAUUUUUACCGCUUUGUAUGAAUCAUAGCCCACAAGGAAGGUUUCACCUAACAUCGACCUUUACCAAAAAUAUACUCACUUGCAUCUCGCGUGCAGCUGGCUUUGCCAUGGACUCAUUGGACUGUGCUUUGUUUAUGGUUUACAGAAAGGUGUAACAUACGCUUUCCUAAGCACAAUUAGAGAUCUUGUACCCUAGCACAUGGGAACAAAUGCUGAAUUAACACAGAGGUGUACUCACAUUGUGGAGAUACUAUGGGCCAACUUGCCCUGUAAUCGAAUCAUCCAUGUUCAACUCAAAUCAUUCUUCCUUGGUAAUGAUCCCAUUAAGACUGCUUUUGUGCUCUUUGCUUCUCGAUACAUCUUGGUAGUAAGUGUUUGCACAAACUUUUGUAGCAUGUAGUACAAACUAUGAUAGGUAUGGUGGAUUGUUUGGCCGUUUUCUUUUUUCUUUUACUUUGAGGAAGCUUAGCAUGUUCGAAUCAAAUCCCUUUAUAGCAAGUGUUUGCACAAACUUUUGUAGCAUGUAGUACAAACUAUGAUAGGCAUGGUGGAUUGUUUGGUGUUUUUUUUUACUUUGAGGAAGCUUAGCAUGUUCAAAUCAAAACUCUUUAUAUUUGUUCUGGAUCAUAGAUAAUUUCUCUUGAUCAAAAACCUAAAUCCUUUGCUGUGUGCUGUUCUGAUGAUGUUCAAAUUUUAAAAGGCGAAGUUGUGAUUAUUUUUUUCCUGGGAAGAAAAAAAGACAUCCGUUCAGAACUUGCUAAGCAGGACAGUCAAUACAGGGAGCAGAUUCUGAGAGAUGAACGAAUCCGAUGUCGAAACUCUUACCCCAUUCUAGCAGGGGUGUGUAUUUUAGCUUUAGACUUACCCGCUAAAGAGACGAUUGCCAGCUAAUCUCACGCAGACAUUAUUCCAUUUGUUUACUUACAGCUCUUUGGCUGCUAUUUGUUGGAGCUUCUUUUGUUUGCAGGAAUCAAUCCUCUGCUCUCACUCACACCGGACGGAUGGAUGGAUUGUCCUGCUGCCAACAUGUAGGGCCUAAACUCAUCAAGCGCCUCCGCGUCACCCGUCGAUACGCUGCUCUCGCGUGCUAUCCGUCCGUGAUGCGAUGCAGGCGCAUUCGCAUUGGCGCGAGAGAGCACGGAUGGAUGGUACUGGAACACAUGAAUUUGUGCGGCAAUGAUUGGAGAAGGGAGACAUAGAUCUGCGGCAACCUUUCUGGCGAGCAUAAUGAUGCAGAAGAAGAUAAUCUGGUGGGCGGUCGGGUCCAGUUCCAUUCCUCAAUGACUGCGGUGCACGACGGGGGUGGCAUGGCAUGGCACGGGUAAAUGCCUUGUGCCGAGCCCGGCCAGCGCUGCCGUGCACAGGACUGGCAAAGCGCGUGCGGACGGACACCGGGUCGUGGACGGCGAAGGCCAUGUCUAGGGGCUACCCUAACAAAACCAGCCCCGUCUACGAUACGGUCUUCUUCUCCUCCUCGUUCUCAAAGAUAAGAUGAGGAGGGAAAAAGAAAAGCGGAGGCAGAGGUAAGCUGGGGAGGGGACUGGUCUAGGAAUCUAUCUAUCUAUCGAGGCUUGUUAUCUACUGUACGUAGCAGCAGCAGCUCGUGGUCCAUGCCCUGGGGCUGGAGCUCGGCAGUUUGAAGUCGUAUCCUUUCCAGUCUUUGGCCCGGCAUUUCUCUCUCAAGAUUCGCUACGUAUACGUACGUACGCCCCUCCCUUUGCCUUUUUAUUUUCUUCUCUUCUCCUUCCCGCUUUGGGGCGAACAGUUUACUAAUGGCUCCACUAAUGUUAGGCAGAUGAGGAGGGAAAAGGCAUGGAUGGAGGGAGGGACGCUGCUGUGUUGAGUAGAAAGAUAAAGAGGAAUGGAGGAGGUAAGCUUAGCUGCAGUGCAGGGGAAUAACUUGCAGUUCACUUCUUGCAGUGUUAAUCAGCACAGAUGGUUGCUGCUUCCUUCCUUGCCGAUGCUUUUCUUAAGCCCUGAUUUGAAAGCUUAAGGGGGAGGGAAGGGGGAGGGGGGCAAAAGCGUGUUUGGAGUGAAUAAAAGUAUUGCAUGGGUGCCACAGAAAGAUUGAGAUUAGGAGAAUCUCAACUCUGCGAGAAAAAGCAUCUCCAGCAGCUGGGGCAGACCGCAACUCCUCCUCUAAUCAAUCAAACAAAGGUUUCAUUUUCAGCUCUGAAUUUCGCAAGAAAAAGAAAACGGUACAAUUCCUACUACUCCUAGUACGAGUUUCCUAUACGCUCGAAAGUCCAAACAAAUCUCACCUAAACCCUAUCAAUGAUGGGAUGAAAUGAAAUGGAGCGAAAGCGGCGAUGCUUUGCCGUGGGGGGCAAAAUGGCGAGGCCUCGAUCGCAGCCCCUCCUAAUGUUGACCACCAAUUUCCCUUGAGCAAAAAACUAAUGAUGGCGAUCAUGGAGGGCGUGUAAAUAAUUGCCCGUGUCGACCGAUUAAAGAAGUGCAAACAGUCAAAUAAUGAUGAGCGGGGUGGGUGCACAAGUUUUACAGCCAGGCAGGCACCUUGAGAAAGCGAGCAUAAACUAAUGCCUGCGAGGGUUGGCAAUGUCAGGGAUGCCUCUUUACGCCUGCUCCUCUGCUCUGCUAUGAGCGGUGCGGUGCGAUGCCAAGCAAGUAAGUAACCAGGGAGUUGUUACUAAAGGAAAGCAAAGGUAAACACCAUGAUUAAAGGGCUGUUAACAAAGGAAAGGUAAAGCGGGGACGAUUAAGGUGCCCUAACACAUUUUAAAGCUUAUUAAACAAAACAAAAACUGGCCAUGGAUGGCGGUGGUGCCCAGUUUGUGACUAGGAGGAGAGCAGAGGACUAAAGCUGUUUGUUGCCUCUCUCUUCUUUCUCUCUCUGGUUAACCAUGCAUAAAAACUAGUAGGGCCUCUGGUGGUGGUGGUGGUGGUCAAGAAGAACUAGUAGUAGUACUAGCAGUGUAGUCCUACAAAUGCCACAAGCCUUUGCCUCCACACUCCCUCUAGCUAUGUAAGCAUGGUCUAUGCGUCUCCCUCUUUUCCUAGCUCAUCUUCUUCCUACGCCUCUCGCCGGCACACCUAGCGCCACAAUCUGCAGCGGCCGCCCCUCCUUUUCUUGCCGUUUCUGUCCAUAGUCUCGCUGCCUUAAGAGCUUUUGCCCAUCGCAUUGCCCAUACGGCCCUGCCCGACCAGAGCACUUCGUCUUCUCUCCCGGCUGCCUCUCAGGUUCUUUCGGCCAGC